rnacentral:rRNA from 1 species
AUUGAACGCUGGCGGCAGGCCUAACACAUGCAAGUCGAACGAGUGGCGGACGGGUGAGUAAUGUCUGGGUAACUGCCCGAUGGAGGGGGAUAACUACUGGAAACGGUAGCUAAUACCGCAUACCAUCGGAUGUGCCCAGAUGGGAUUAGCUAGUAGGUGGGGUAACGGCUCACCUACGCGACGAUCCCUAGCUGGUCUGAGAGGAUGACCAGCCACACGGGAACUGAGAAACGGUCCAGGCGCCUACGGGAGGAACCAGUGGGGAAUAUUGCACAAUGGGGGCAAGCCUGAUGCAGCCAUGCCGCGUGUGUGAAGAAGGCCUUCGGGUUGUAAAGUACUUUCAGCGAGGAGGCGUUACUCGCAGAAGAAGCACCGGCUAACUCCGUGCCAGCAGCCGCGGUAAUAC